CCAGCCCUUGCUGUGCACAGCCCCCGACUCUGCCCAGUCUCCUGCACCAGACUCUGCGCUCUGCUCCUCUCACCGUCACCGGCCGCCGUGCACACCUCUCCACACACGUCAGUACGUCAGUGCCUGGGAGCUGGGCUCUGACGGUCCUGAGCCGCCGUGGUGUCGGCUGACUUCGGGAGGCCUUCUGGGAAUCACGUUCACAGAGCAGCACAGGCUGUAUCGCCACCAUGGCUCAGGGCUCUGGGAGCCCAGGUGACACCUCAGCGGAGGCUCGUGGCCUCCCGGUGAGUAAGGAAGCUGUUGACAGAGCCAGCAGGAACUCAUCAAGCCCCUCACGUCCUCCUGGCAUCUCACCGGGACCCUAGAGUAAAAGCCCAGACCCCUUACUGUAACCCGCAAGAAGCAAAGGUGUCGCCGCCACGUUACCAACUGCCAGGACCUGCCUCCCCGACAAAGCAGACAGGAAGUGCAACUGGGGCGCAGGAAGGUUGGGAGAGCGAGGCGCGCGUCCUGCUGGGCUCCCCCUGCCCUCCCCUGCACCCUGCACCCCUCGGGAUGGCCGUGCCAAGUUUCACAUUCCCUUCCUUACAGUGGCCACCACUGUCACCGUCCCUUCCUCUCCGCCAUCCAGGGCCUCGCUCCCAUCUGAUUACCAUCCAGGAACUCAGUCUCUUUUCCCUCCAGUGGGUCACCUAGACUACCCCUGGCAGCGAGGCCAUGUCCCCACCUUGCAGAGUCUGCAGAUUUUUACAGCACCAGGCUCCCUCUUGGGUCAAGAAAAGGGCACGACUUUGGCCAGUUCUGCUUUCAAACAGAAGGGAGUGACGUGUAGGCGUUCAGUUCCCACUUUGCUCUUUUGCCCUUGUCAACACGCUGCCUCCUCUGAGCUUGCUUCUUGGGUCUUAUCAAACAGACCAACGCAGCACCAGGGCCAGCUGCCCAAUGCCUCCUCAUAGAUGUUCAGUGGCACUUAAUUCGCUAAAAGAACUUAGUUGCUUGGAAAAGUGACCCAGGAGAUGUUUUCAGGCAGACUCUCAUAUUGCUUUCCUCAUGCCAACUGCGCUAGGCUUUUAGGAAAGUUCUUUUCCAGGAAUGCUGGCUCCUUCCUGCCAUGCCCAAGCACCCUACGACCUGAGAAAGGAUGGAGUGGGGAACCGUCUGCCACUGUGAGAAAGAGUCAGCACCCGGAUUAAAGGAUGAUGGGCCAGACGCGCUCUGUGUAAUGACUAGGGAGUUGCGCUCACGGGGAUGAGUCACCUGGGCGUGGAGCUCGGCUGGCUGUGGUUCUGCUCCAGAUGGUCCCUGAGGAGCUGUGCAGGGGAGCAGAUCUGAGAACGAAACCCGUCCAACCAGAAGCGCCUGUCUCGUCCUGCUGAUUUAUGGGCCAGCCACCCAGCAUCCCCAAGAGAUCCUCUUUCACACUCUCCUCCCUAUCCCCGCGGGGCCUUUUCUGCCACUUGCAGACCUAAUUCAGCCCUGAGAGUGGGGAACCUGGGAGUUAGGACAGUCCGGGUCAGAUAAACCAGGCAGCCAGGCAACCAACGCCGCAUGCUGUCGACACCAAGGCCCUGUGAGCAGGCACGGGGUGAUCCCAUCCUAGGUACACGGCGAUGUGCGCGUCUGCACAGCCCAGGACCGAGCUCUGACUGGGCAGCUGCGCUCCAGCUGGGUGACCCUGGAGAAACUGCUCGGUCGAACUCCCUGAACUUGAGAUUCCGCUCUGUAAAAUGGCCACAGUGCCACCUCCUACGUCAAGGGGAGGAUUAAACAAGAUCUCACAUUAUCUGUUUUGUACAUGGUGAUUAAAGAUGACCUGUUACUGGCUGGGGACAUAGUGCAGUGGUAGAGCACCUGCCAAGUAUGCACUAGGCGCUUGGUCCCCAGCACUGCAAAACACAAAAGCAAAGCCCUGUCACCUGUCAUUACCCGGCCAGCCCUAGCGGUGGCAAAGCGGAGCCCGCUCUGCCGGCAGCCGCGGGGGUUCCAGCCACUCGCGGAGAGGCAGCUUCUCCCCAGUUGUCUUAUUGCUCUCGUUCCUGGUGAAUGAACACGCUGUCCUGGACAGCAGUAGCCAGAGCAGCCCAAGACACCAGCAGAGGACAAUCCUCUGUCACUUUAUCUCUAAAUGCAGUUCUCUCCAAAUCACGGCUGAAAGAAUAAGAAGUGUAACUGGGAGAAAUCCAGGAUUCAGAAGUGAAUCGAGAGAAGCCUUCUUUUUCACUCGUUGUUUGCUCGACUUUGCCACUUUCCUCUUAAAGGAUAAUUCAGGCUCCAGCAUUUGACUUAGUAGACAAAGGUGCUGUUCCCUCUUUGCUGUGAAUCAUGUUCCAUCUCUUCCCUAUAAAACACCCAUUUGUGCGGAAUUUCAACACUCUUGGGCAAAAUACUCAUAAUGAAUUUCCCAUUCAAUAGCAUGGCCUUCCAAAUGACCAGCUAUGGACUGACCAACACGAAUCCUGUUCUGCUGGCACAACAGGGGCUAAAAUGAUAGGAAAAAGGGUGUGUGGCAGGGAAAGUUUAUUGAUUGAAAUAAGCCACAACCCAAACUCUGCAACAGCAUCAAAAGCCACCCUCCCCUGUGGAAAGGGAACUUGGCUGUCUCCUCUUGCUCUGCACUGCAGGGUCAUGUGAGGUCACCCCAGAGGCGCUCUCCUCCUGACUGGUGCCGUAAGGAACAGCAGAGGAGCACGAGCUUGCCUGGCCUUGGAGUCACAGCAGCACCGGCCACCAAGUGCUGGAGCCAAGGGGCCGGUCCACCAGUGAACCAGGUGUGACUUCACAACACACCCAAGAACUCGGAGACCACUUCUCCAAUCAGGUGCAGCCCUGAUUCCCAGCAGGGAAAGCACGUGGAGACCACCAGCCAUGGGAACAGAAUCCAUGGGUAUCCUCAUUAGGGUCAAAGGGGAAAGUGACAUCGGGGAAAGUGACACCAUGUCCUGCCUCACAGCUCAAGGACAGUUAGAAGAAGACACGGGGAUUUUCAUGGGAGCAGGUUCUGAGAGACAGAUGUCCAUUCUGAUCUCUCUGAGCAACAAUCGUGCCAGCGGCCGAGGGGUCUCACAUAGUCCUGGAACUACAGGAAAUGAAGUUUCGGGUACCCAGCAUCUCUUCUGUCACCCGCGGCCCUCUGCUUCCUGGAUGCCGUGCUCUGAGCUUGUUCAUUAGCUGUUGUCCUGUCCCCUCCCUCCAUGAGUGACCACCACCUGCCAGGUUCCAACGGUUCCUCUCAUUGCCACCCUUAACAGAUGUGUGAGGAGAGAUCCACCUUGAUUUGCAGACAGGAAGCUCAGGGCAGCGCUGUCCCCUGACUUGCCCGAGGUUACUCGGCUGAGGAGCAGCAGGGCUGAAAUCGAAAGCUUGGACCUCCUGCCUCCAGAUCCAGUCCCAGGGGAGGGAGCAGUUGGUCUUGUGCAUCAGCCUGGCCCUGGUUUGGCCAGGGACAUUCCCAUCUUCAAUCAAACAAAAGAGGAGAUGACCAGAAGGAGAGAAGAGAGCCUUCCCUCUCCUCGUCGUUUCUGGGUAAGCAGCGGCUGCAGAGUUCUCAGCUAUGAGAGUUCCUCCUGCCCUCCCGCCACGGAGGGCAGGCGGCACACUAUCUCCAUCUCUAGAGAGGAGUGGUCCCUUCCUCUGGCCAGGAGCUAGGGAGGGUGAUCCACGGGACCCAGCCGGCCUGCCUGCCUCUACACACUCGGACAGCGAGCAAAGGAGGAAGCGCACCUGGGGGCCUGGGUCCAGGCCGGGAGGCCCGACGCGCAGCACAAAGCAUCCCCUUCACCCCUUCACUCGCCUCCCCUGCUCCUGCGGCAGCCGAGGUUCCUGGAACCCAUCCCAACACAGUGCCCUCGGCAGAUCCUACCAGCUGGACGAAACCUAUCUGCCGAUCCCGAUGUCGCCAUCUGCAGGGUUCUGUUCUCAGGGCACUGGGGAGCCCCCAGCGUGACUGCCCAGGCCUUUGCACUGGGUGCUGCCGCUGGCCUCUGGCAGCUGUCAUUUUGCAGGAGACUCUGGAGGAACUGAACUUCCCUGCUUUUCACCAUUAGGUAAGGGGUGGCUUUCCUGAGGGCCACAUACCCAAAAAGAACCUGUCUCAAUGAUUUCUUUUGGGACGUGAGGUCAGCAGAAGGUCGGUGACCACGUCCCCCAGCCCCAGCCUACUUUUCUUUCCUCUGCUGACAGUGUUGGUAGCUGCCCUUUCUCCCUCCUCCUGGCAGCCUCGGGGGUUGGCUUCGGGAACA